rnacentral:lncRNA from 1 species
AUGGAGAUUGAUUACGCACGCGGCAAGUUCUCGGAGGGGUGGGAGAGAGAGGGGAAAGAUGAAGAACGGGCGGUGUCUUUCUCUCUCCUCCCUUCUCUCUCUAGUCUCUGUAUUCGCCUGAGUGAAUGAGGCAAGAAAGAGAAUAAGAAGGCAAGGACAAGAAUGCCUGUGUGAAUGAGCCAAGAGAGAGAAGAAGAAGAAGACGAGCUGACGAGGACAAGAAUGAAACUGCGUCUCUCUCUCUCUCCGCUGUCUUGCCCUCAAAUGACUUUAAAAUGGUCUCCUUUAGCUUGCAAUGGUUUUUUUUUUUUGGC